UACAGAGGUCUCAAGCGUUGUUCGGAUUCAUUGGGCGUAAAGGGCGCGUAGGCGGCCCGUCUUAGUCGCGUGUGAAAGCCCCGGGCUCAACCUGGGAACGGCGCGCGAAACGGGAGGGCUGGAGUUCGGGAGAGGAGAGUGGAAUUCCCAGUGUAGAGGUGAAAUUCGUAGAUAUUGGGAAGAACACCGGUGGCGAAGGCGGCUCUCUGGACCGAGACUGACGCUGAGGCUCGAAAGCGUGGGGAGCAAACAGG
rnacentral:rRNA from 1 species